rnacentral:rRNA from 1 species
UACGUAGGGGGCUAGCGUUGUCCGGAAUCAUUGGACGUAAAGCGCGUGUAGGCGGUCCGGUAAGUCCGCUGUGAAAGUCGAGGGCUCAACCCUCGAAUGCCGGUGGAUACUGUCGGGCUUGAGUACGGGAGAGGCGAGUGGAAUUCCUGGUGUAGCGGUGAAAUGCGCAGAUAUCAGGAGGAACACCGAUUGCGAAGGCAGCUCGCUGGAACGUUACUGACGCUGAGACGCGAAAGCGUGGGGAGCAAACAGG